AUAUUACUUUCUCCGUUCGGAAUUACUUGUCUUAGAAAUAGAUGUAUCUAGACUUAUAUUAAUUCUAGAUACAUCCAUUUUUAUUCAUUUCCACGACAAGUAAUUUCGGACGGAGGGAGUAUAUC
rfam:Triticum urartu cultivar G1812 contig710807, whole genome shotgun sequence.